rnacentral:rRNA from 1 species
CGCAUCUGUGCAUGCAGCAUAUCAAUAAGCGGAGGAAAAGAAACUAACAAGGAUUCCCCUAGUAACGGCGAGUGAAGCGGGAAGAGCUCAAAUUUGAAAUCUUAAAGGGUUUCCCUUUACGAAUUGUAGUUUAAAGAAGUGUUUUCUGUUGAGGUUUUGGUAAAAGUUCUUUGGAAUAGGACAUCAUAGAGGGUGAGAAUCCCGUAUUUGACCUUUACUUUCAACUUUGUGAUACACUUUCAAAGAGUCGGAUUGUUUGGGAAUGCAGUCCAAAAUGGGUGGUAAAUUUCAUCUAAAGCUAAAUAUUGGCGAGAGACCGAUAGCGAACAAGUACCGUGAGGGAAAGAUGAAAAGAACUUUGAAAAGAGAGUUAAACAGUACGUGAAAUUGUCAAAAGGGAAGCGUUUGACACCAGUGUUGUUUUUCUGAAAAUCAAUUAAAGAACUGUUUAUGCUAAGUUGUUUAGACUUUAUCAGCUAUCUGUUUAGUUUUGAGCUUUUCUUUAAUGCACUUUUCAGUUAACAAGUCAACAUCAAUUUCUUUUGCUGUAAAAAAGCUUGAGGAAGGUGGCUUGAGAUUCGUCUUAAGUGUUUAUAGCCUCUUGCCUAUGCAGUCGGAGAGAUUGAGGUCUGCAGCGUAGAUCCUUCGGGGCUAAAUGCAUUUGUGCUAAGUUAUAGCAUUUUAUAGACAACUUGUUGACUAUGAUUUGUCUUGUAGCUUACUCGCUUAUGUUAUUUUACCUACGCUUAGGAUGUUGACGAGACUGUCGAUCUC